UACAGAGGGUGCGAGCGUUGUUCGGAAUUAUUGGGCGUAAAGGACGCGUAGGCGGUGCGGUAAGUCACCUGUGAAAUCUCCUGGCUCAACUGGGAGCUUGCAGGCGAAACUGCCGUGCUGGAGUGUGGGAGAGGUGCGUGGAAUUCCUGGUGUAGAGGUGAAAUUCGUAGAUAUCAGGAGGAACACCAAUGGCGAAGGCAGAUCUCUGGGCCGUAACUGACGCUGAGGAGCGAAAGCAUGGGGAGCGAACAGG
rnacentral:rRNA from 1 species